rnacentral:rRNA from 1 species
AGCGAACGCUGGCGGCAGGCCUAACACAUGCAAGUCGAACGGAUCCUUCGGGAUUAGUGGCGGACGGGUGAGUAACACGUGGGAACGUGCCUUUUGGUUCGGAACAACUCAGGGAAACUUGAGCUAAUACCGGAUAAGCCUUUCGAGGGGAAGAUUUAUCGCCAUUAGAGCGGCCCGCGUAGGAUUAGCUAGUUGGUGGG